GACGAACGCUGGCGGCGUGCUUAACACAUGCAAGUCGAGCGGUAAGGCCCUUUCGGGGGUACACGAGCGGCGAACGGGUGAGUAACACGUGGGUGACCUGCCCUCAGCUCUGGGAUAAGCCUGGGAAACUGGGUCUAAUACUGGAUAUGACUCCACGGUGCAUGUCGUGGGGUGGAAAGCCUUGUGCGGCUGAGGAUGGGCCCGCGGCCUAUCAGCUUGUUGGUGGGGGAUGGCCUACCAAGGCGACGACGGGUAGCCGGCCUGAGAGGGCGACCGGCCACACUGGGACUGAGACACGGCCCAGACUCCUACGGGAGGGCAGCAGUGGGGAAGUCUUGCGCAAUGGGCGGAAAGCCUGACGCAGCGACGCCGCGUGAGGGAGUGA
rnacentral:rRNA from 1 species